ACGGCCACAUCACGUUGAUUAACCGGUUCUCGUACAAUCACCGAAGUUAAGCAACGUCGAGACUGGUCAGUAGCUUGAUGGGUGGCCGCUUGAGAAUACCAAGUGCUAUA